AUAUCAGACGGCGGUAUUAGCGUUACAUUAAGCAUAUUAGACAGAUGGAAAAUGUUCAUAAACUAAGUUAAAAACGUGGUAACUUGCUCGUUUUCUCUUUCCCACGUCUAAAUAUUUAUGGAAGACAUGUCAAUGGUACCAGUAUUAUAUGUUUGCUUAUUAUGAACUCCUGUAUAAUUUACUACUGCUAGUUAUUGCUCACGUUUUACUCAUUGUAGUUAUCAGGUUUCUAUAUCUAAGAAAGCAUACGGUAAGGUAUAGUAUUGAAACUUUUUCAUCCUUAGUUGCUUUGAGCUGAUAACUACUUUGCAACUCUGAUUAACAACUUAUAAUAUUUGGCAUUAUGAAUAUGCUCUGAGUAUGU